UUACCUAAGCCUGGCAUUGCCCGAGGAUGGACGAGCAAGCACACAUCCCUCCCCAGUAAAACCCCGCUAUCUUUGGGGGCCUAGAAGGUGCGCUGACAGU
ensembl:snoRNA